rnacentral:sRNA from 1 species
AGCAUUCAGAUGUACAUUCAUCACAUGUUUUGCUAGGGUCUAUAAAGAACAUAUCAAAAGAACAAAUAAUAACACAACAAUUUUUUUCUCAAUUUUUAGAAUAUGCAAAGGAAAUCAAUAGGAUUAAAACUGCAACUGCAAGGCAGUAUAUGGCUUACCAUGUCUCUUGACUCGUUGUGUUCAUCCUUCACAAUAAAUAUCAUGUCAAAACGAGAGAGAAUGGUGGGCAUGAAGUCUAUAUUCUCCUCUCCCUUUGUCUCGUCCCAGCGACCAUACACACUGUUUGCAGCAGCCAGCACAGAACAUCUUGAAUUCAAGGUGGUUGUGAUUCCAGCCUACAGAAGCAUAACAUGUAAAUUAACCUCUUUCACAGCAUCAAGUAAAACAUUCAAAAUAUCCUUAGUGUUACAGUUUUGUUAAGUUUAUGUACCUUAGCAAUAGAUAUGGUCUGUUGUUCCAUGGCUUCGUGAAUGGCUACCCUGUCGUCUUCUCUCAUCUUGUCAAAUUCGUCAAUACACACCACCCCUCCAUCAGCCAGCACCAUCGCACCUCCUUCCAUCACAAAGUUCCUCUACAGAAAAUUUUAAAAAUUUAAAAAUUCUAAAAAACGUGUUUUUCUUUCUUCCUAUCAAUCUUCUAACAAAAAUAUAUUUCUGUAUAAAUACAAUGCAGUUCAUUGCAAUAAUGCUUUUAGUGAAGCACUUGCAAGAAGUUUCAAUGCACACAUUUGGUUCAUUAUGCUUACUGUUUGCGGGUCCCUAAUGACCGAUGCUGUCAGACCAGCAGCACUGCUGCCCUUGCCAGAAGUGUACACACCGAUUGGGGAACACCGCUCAACAAACUUCAGCAGCUGAGAUUUGGCCGUACCAGGGUCACCCAACAUAAGAAGGUUGACAUCUCCCCUCCUCAUCAAACCAUCUGGCAUUCUGUUAAAUAAUGUUUGGAAGACACUUCAAAUUCAUUUUACAGACCAUCUGGUGUUACAACUUACAAGAGCAUAGUACCUGUCAAGAGUUAACCUUUGCUACAAGAAAAUAAAUAUUUCACUGUCAUCUUCUACGAAUUUAAAACAAAAUCCAUAUAAUUUACUGUACCUUUUUCUUGAUCCACCAAACAGAAGACAAGAGAUAGCUUUCUUGAUAUCAAGGCUUCCAUAAAUGGAUGGUGCAAUGCUUUUGGCUAUGGUUUCAUAGAUGUUGGGGUCAUUGGCCAUUCUUCUGAACUCUUCCUCAUCUCCUGGGGUGAUGGGGGUCGAGCCUCCUCUACCUGUCCCAUCGCUGUCCACCUUGAUACCAAGGACCCUGAAGUAUGGGCUCCUGAUUCCAACAUUCACUUUCUCCCUGCCAGCUCCUUUCUACAAAGACCAUUCAGAUAAUUUGAAUGAUAUAUUUCCUUUCCAUUCAUACCAUAAACAUACUUUCAUUAGAAAAAUUGAUACAUCAACAAGUACAUGUAGUCCAAGAUUGAUUUAAAUAAUCUGUAUAUACAUGUAUUGUUUCAAUCUAGUUUAUAUACAAUUAAACAAGACAUUUGGUGAUGUAUUUAUUUUUAAUUAAGCUAUUUUUAACUUGAAACAUUUCAUAAAUACACAGACAAAUGUGACUUGCUUUAGUAUGACAGAACACAUUAUUCAUUAGUAUUUAAUCAAGUGAAUUAUUUUUAUAUACACUUACAGUUGGCAUGCCUGUCUUUUUAAUGGAGUAUAUUCCAACCACAGUCACUCUGUUGCCCGGUACAACUUUAUCACACAUGUACCUAAAACAUACAAGUCCAUUAUUGUAAAGUUGACAUUUGCAAUUAAGAGAUUGACCGUGUCAAAAACUGUCGUUUGUUUUUUUCAUACCUGUCGCAGUAGAGCUGCAUGUGUCUGGGCAUUUCUCCAUUGGGAACAGCCUCCGGGGCUUCCUGGAGUUUGAGGACCUGGAAAUCCACACACUUACAUUUGUCUGGAACAAUGUAAAAUGGGUCAAUUGGACACUUAGGUCUCCCUGCUUGCUCACUGCAAAUUGCGUAUCCUUCCAGACCUGGGUUCACAGGAAUGUUAUUCAGCGUGUUCUUGCAGCUCCUGCACUGAAUUGUCAGUUUGGUCGCUUUAGCUUUGAUGGCCGAUGCUGCUAUGACUAUACCAGGAAUCUUCACCAACCUUGCCAUUUGUGCCGACUAGGAAAAAUAAAGAGCAAUCUCAUGGACUCAUCUAGACACAUUAAGAGCUUUAUAAAAAUACGAAUCAAAAUGCUUUUUGAUUUAACGACCUCCUGACCUUAAGCUCUCUAAGCCCACAGGGAUUGGCAUUAGAAGACAGCAUGACUUGUAUAUCAUGAACGUCUUCCUCUCCUUCGGGGCGGGGACGUGUGACCUCAUCAGCAACUUCUUUGGCCGCAUCUUCAAACUUUGAAAUAACAAAACCAUUAAAACUGGGCUGCCUGAUCAUAGCAAGUUUGCCAGUCAAUCACAUUCUGAUUCCUAUCCACUAAAUAAUUGGUUUUCUCAAAAGCAAUUGGAACCUGUUUGUUACAGUGCCAAGCACCUCAACAACAGAAAGUUACAGUCAACAGGUCAAAGGGAGAACACACGAAAGACCUGAUUCAGGAGUCGUAUUCAUUCUAUAUAAAUAAUUUUUCAUACAUACCAAAGGUAGGUGCUCUGAAGGAAUUUUUGAUAACUUCUCUGCUAGUGCUUCGUCAAAGCUGGACACAUCUUCAAUUUCGACAUCCAACCAAUGCUGUCCCAAGUUGUAAUUACGUUUCAACUGGUCCCUUAAACAAAAACAAAGACAUCGCUUAAAGAUGUAUAAUCAUAUUGAAUCUUACCGAGUUAUGCAUUGGCAUCUAUAGUUUGAUUGAACACAACACAAAAAGCGGAAAUGACUGCGAAAUUGAUGCAGACCUGGAAAAAAAAAUUUGUACCUGUAUGUGUAUGAGAAGUUUCCUUCGUGAAAUUGACGGAUAAAGUCCUUUAAACGUU